rnacentral:rRNA from 1 species
CGGCACGGGUGAGUAACACGUAGGUAAUGUGCCUUUGGGUGGGGAAUAACUUAGGGAAACUUAAGCUAAUACCGCAUAAUGCAGCGGCUCCUUCGGGAGACAGUUGUUAAAGAUUUAUCGCCUAAAGAGCAGCCUGCGGCAGAUUAGCUAGUUGGUAAGGUAACGGCUUACCAAGGCUACGAUCUGUAUCCGACCUGAGAGGGUGGUCGGACACACUGACACUGAAUAACGGGUCAG